rnacentral:rRNA from 1 species
UACGGAGGGUGCAAGCGUUUGUUCGGAAUUAUUGGGCGUAAAGCGCAUGUAGGCGGCCUGUUAAGUCACGUGUGAAAGCCCCAGGCUCAACCUGGGAAGUGCGCGUGAAACUGGCGGGCUUGAAUCCUGGAGAGGGUGGCGGAAUUCCCGGUGUAGAGGUGAAAUUCGUAGAUAUCGGGAGGAACACCAGAGGCGAAGGCGGCCACCUGGACAGAGAUUGACGCUGAGACGCGAAAGCGUGGGGAGCAAACAGG